AGCUCCAAUAGCAUAUAUUAAAGUUGUUGCAGUUAAAAAGCUCGUAGUUGGAUUUCUGGCAUGAUGCGCCUGGCCCGCCUCAAAUUUGAGUGUGUGUGCCGGUGCGCGUCUGCCAUCCAUUUGCAGAAUGUGCCUACUCUUCAUUGAGCCGGGUGCGUGAUGUAAAUCUUUUACUUUGAAAAAAUAAGAGUGUUUAAAGCAGGCAUUUGCUAUGAAUACAUUAGCAUGGAAUAAUAAUCUAGGACUUCGGUUCUAUUUUGUUGGUUUCUAGAUCUGAAGUAAUGAUUGAUAGGGAUAGUUAGGGGUGCUAGUAUUAAGGGGCCAGAGGUGAAAUUCUUGGAUUCUCUUAAAACUAACUUAUGCGAAAGCAUUCACCAAGGAUGUCUUCU
rnacentral:rRNA from 1 species